rnacentral:lncRNA from 1 species
GUUAGUCAGGAAAUCCCCCACUCCCAGAGCCAAAGAUUAAAGGCAACAGAUGGUCUUUUUUGGUUUACUUUGGCUGUUGCCUGUACAUAUGUGACCUGUUGCUCACCUGAGUUAGUAGUCAAAAGCUCGAAGUAGAAAACUGCUCAAGGUGAUUUUCUAUUAAUUUGCUUUAAAACCACAGAAGCAAAGGUGUCUUGAGUAACCUGCAAACACGAGGACUUAUGUCAACUAUGCAUCAAAGACAGACAUGCACUCAGUUUUUGCUACCGCAUCUCAAAACAAGUCAGAGAAGAAAUAGAAAAGAGCUGGGGGAGAUCAACCAAAGCAGUUUGAUUCAUGAAGGAACCUGCUGUCCAAGGAUAGAGAAGAAGAAAUGGUGUGUACAGAGGAAUGGAGGGGCUCUGUUGGAGGGCUCCUGGUGCUAUGAUAAUUCAACCAAUCAACAACAGUAA